rfam:Pongo abelii chromosome 10.
AUACAGCCGUACAACCCUGGUCGUGCUCUAUCUCAUCUGAUCUCAGAAGCUAAACAGGGUUAGGUCUGGUUAGUACUUGGAUGGGAGGUAGGAAUGGGACAAAACCUGGCUGCUCAGAACC